ACGUACACUCCUGCGGGAGGCAGCAGUGGGGAAUAUUGCACAAUGGGCGCAAGCCUGAUGCAGCCAUGCCGCGUGUAUGAAGAAGGCCUUCGGGUUGUAAAGUACUUUCAGCGGGGAGGAAGGCGAUAAGGUUAAUAACCUUGUUGAUUGACGUUACCCGCAGAAGAAGCACCGGCUAACUCCGUGCCAGCAGCCGCGGUAAUACGGAGGGUGCAAGCGUUAAUCGGAAUUACUGGGCGUAAAGCGCACGCAGGCGGUCUGUCAAGUCGGAUGUGAAAUCCCCGGGCUCAACCUGGGAACUGCAUUCGAAACUGGCAGGCUAGAGUCUUGUAGAGGGGGGUAGAAUUCCAGGUGUAGCGGUGAAAUGCGUAGAGAUCUGGAGGAAUACCGGUGGCGAAGGCGGCCCCCUGGACAAAGACUGACGCUCAGGUGCGAAAGCGUGGGGAGCAAACAGGAUUAGAAACCCUGGUAGUCCCA
rnacentral:rRNA from 1 species